CUAAGGAGAAAAAGUCGAGCGAAUCUUUGGGAGCUUGCUCCUAAAGGUUAUCGCCGGACGGGUGAGUAACACGUGGGCAACCUGCCUAUAAGACUGGGAUAACUUCGGGAAACCGGAGCUAAUACCGGAUAAUUCUUUUCUACUCAUGUAGGAAAGCUAAAAGACGGCUUACGCUGUCACUUAUAGAUGGGCCCGCGGCGCAUUAGCUAGUUGGUGAGGUAACGGCUCACCAAGGCCACGAUGCGUAGCCGACCUGAGAGGGUGAUCGGCCACACUGGGACUGAGACACGGCCCAGACUCCUACGGGAGGCAGCAGUGGG
rnacentral:sRNA from 1 species